GGACUUUAGCUCAGUGGUAAAAGCAUUUGUCUUUCACACAGAAGUCCCAGGUUCAAUCCCUGGCAUCUCCA